UAGGGAAUCUUCGGCAAUGGGGGGAACCCUGACCGAGCAACGCCGCGUGAGUGAAGAAGGUUUUCGGAUCGUAAAGCUCUGUUGUUAAGGAAGAACGAGUGUGAGAAUGGAAAGUUCAUACUGUGACGGUACUUAACCAGAAAGGGACGGCUAACUACGUGCCAGCAGCCGCGGUAAUACGUAGGUCCCGAGCGUUGUCCGGAUUUAUUGGGCGUAAAGCGCGCGCAGGCGGUUAGAAAAGUCUGAAGUGAAAGGCAGUGGCUCAACCAUUGUAGGCUUUGGAAACUGUUUAACCUGAGUGCAGAAGGGGAGAGUGGAAUUCCAUGUGUAGCGGUGAAAUGCGUAGAUAUAUGGAGGAACACCGGUGGCGAAAGCGGCUCUCUGGUCUGUAACUGACGCUGAGGCUCGAAAGCGUGGGGAGCGAACAGG
rnacentral:rRNA from 1 species